GAUGAACGCUGGCGGCGUGCCUAAUACAUGCAAGUCGAGCGAACGGACGAGAAGCUUGCUUUUCUGAUGUUAGCGGCGGACGGGUGAGUAACACGUGGAUAACCUACCUAUAAGACUGGGAUAACUUCGGGAAACCGGAGCUAAUACCGGAUAAUAUUUUGAACCGCAUGGUUCAAAAGUGAAAGACGGUCUUGCUGUCACUUAUAGAUGGAUCCGCGCUGCAUUAGCUAGUUGGUAAGGUAACGGCUUACCAAGGCAACGAUGCAUAGCCGACCUGAGAGGGUGAUCGGCCACACUGGAACUGAGACGCGGUCCAGACUCCUGCGGGAGGCAGCAGUAGGGAAUCUUCCGCAGUGGGCGAAAGCCUGACGGAGCAGCGCCGCGUGAGUGAUGAAGGUCUUCGGAUCGUAAAACUCUGUUAUUAGGGAAGAACAUAUGUGUAAGUAACUGUGCACAUCUUGACGGUACCUAGUCAGAAAGCCACGGCUAACUACGUG
rnacentral:rRNA from 1 species